rnacentral:misc_RNA from 1 species
GAUGAAGAACGUAGCGAAAUGCGAUAAGUAAUGUGAAUUGCAGAAUUCAGUGAAUCAUCGAAUCCUUGAACGCACAUUGCGCCCGCCAGUAUUCUGGCGGGCAUGCCUGUUCGAGCGUCAUUUCAACCCUCAGGCCCCCAGUGCCUGGUGUUGGGGAUCGGCCCAGCCUUCCUGUAAGGCCGCCGGCCCCGAAAUCUAGUGGCGGUCUCGCUGUAGUCCUCCUCUGCGUAGUAGCACAACCUCGCAGUUGGAACGCGGCGGUGGCCAUGCCGUUAAACACCCCACUUCUGAAAGUUGACCUCGGAUCAGGUAGGAAUACCCGCUGAACUUAAGCAUAUCAAUAAGCGGAGGA